UACGUAGGGCGCAAGCGUUGUCCGGAAUUAUUGGGCGUAAAGAGCUCGUAGGCGGUCUGUUACGUCCGCUGUGAAAACCCAGGGCUUAACCCUGGGCUUGCAGUGGAUACGGGCAGACUAGAGGCAGGUAGGGGAGAAUGGAAUUCCCGGUGUAGCGGUGAAAUGCGCAGAUAUCGGGAGGAACACCGGUGGCGAAGGCGGUUCUCUGGGCCUGACCUGACGCUGAGGAGCGAAAGCUAGGGGAGCAAACAGG
rnacentral:rRNA from 1 species